GACGAACGCUGGCGGCGUGCUUAACACAUGCAAGUCGAACGGAAAGGCCCUGCUCUUGUGGGGUGCUCGAGUGGCGAACGGGUGAGUAACACGUGAGUAACCUGCCCUUGACUUUGGGAUAACUUCAGGAAACUGGGGCUAAUACCGGAUAGGAGCUCCUGCCGCAUGGUGGGGGUUGGAAAGUUUCGGCGGUUGGGGAUGGACUCGCGGCUUAUCAGCUUGUUGGUGGGGUAGUGGCUUACCAAGGCGUUGACGGGUAGCCGGCCUGAGAGUGUGACCGGCCACAUUGGGACUGAGAUACGGCCCAGCCUCCUACGGGAGGCAGCAGUGGGGAAUAUUGCACAAUGGGCGGACGCCUGAUGCAGCAACGCAGCGUGCGGGAUGACGGCCUUCGGUUUGUAAACCGCUUUCGCCUGUGACGAAGCGUGAGUGACGGUAAUGGGUAAAGAAGCACCGGCUAACUACGUG
rnacentral:rRNA from 1 species